rnacentral:rRNA from 1 species
UUAAGCGACUAAGCGUACACGGUGGAUGCCCUGGCAGUCAGAGGCGAUGAAGGACGUGCUAAUCUGCGAUAAGCGUCGGUGAGGUGAUAUGAACCGUUAUAACCGGCGAUUUCCGAAUGGGGAAACCCAGUGUGUUUCGACACACUAUCAUUAACUGAAUCCAUAGGUUAAUGAGGCGAACCGGGGGAACUGAAACAUCUAAGUACCCCGAGGAAAAGAAAUCAACCGAGAUUCCCCCAGUAGCGGCGAGCGAACGGGGAGGAGCCCAGAGCCUGAAUCAGUGUGUGUGUUAGUGGAAGCGUCUGGAAAGGCGUGCGAUACAGGGUGACAGCCCCGUACACAAAAAUGCACAUAUUGUGAGCUCGAUGAGUAGGGCGGGACACGUGGUAUCCUGUCUGAAUAUGGGGGGACCAUCCUCCAAGGCUAAAUACUCCUGACUGACCGAUAGUGAACCAGUACCGUGAGGGAAAGGCGAAAAGAACCCCGGCGAGGGGAGUGAAAAAGAACCUGAAACCGUGUACGUACAAGCAGUGGGAGCCUCUUAAUGGGGUGACUGCGUACCUUUUGUAUAAUGGGUCAGCGACUUAUAUUCUGUAGCAAGGUUAACCGAAUAGGGGAGCCGAAGGGAAACCGAGUCUUAACUGGGCGUUAAGUUGCAGGGUAUAGACCCGAAACCCGGUGAUCUAGCCAUGGGCAGGUUGAAGGUUGGGUAACACUAACUGGAGGACCGAACCGACUAAUGUUGAAAAAUUAGCGGAUGACUUGUGGCUGGGGGUGAAAGGCCAAUCAAACCGGGAGAUAGCUGGUUCUCCCCGAAAGCUAUUUAGGUAGCGCCUCGUGAAUUCAUCUCCGGGGGUAGAGCACUGUUUCGGCAAGGGGGUCAUCCCGACUUACCAACCCGAUGCAAACUGCGAAUACCGGAGAAUGUUAUCACGGGAGACACACGGCGGGUGCUAACGUCCGUCGUGAAGAGGGAAACAACCCAGACCGCCAGCUAAGGUCCCAAAGUCAUGGUUAAGUGGGAAACGAUGUGGGAAGGCCCAGACAGCCAGGAUGUUGGCUUAGAAGCAGCCAUCAUUUAAAGAAAGCGUAAUAGCUCACUGGUCGAGUCGGCCUGCGCGGAAGAUGUAACGGGGCUAAACCAUGCACCGAAGCUGCGGCAGCGACACUAUGUGUUGUUGGGUAGGGGAGCGUUCUGUAAGCCUGUGAAGGUGGCCUGUGAGGGUUGCUGGAGGUAUCAGAAGUGCGAAUGCUGACAUAAGUAACGAUAAAGCGGGUGAAAAGCCCGCUCGCCGGAAGACCAAGGGUUCCUGUCCAACGUUAAUCGGGGCAGGGUGAGUCGACCCCUAAGGCGAGGCCGAAAGGCGUAGUCGAUGGGAAACAGGUUAAUAUUCCUGUACUUGGUGUUACUGCGAAGGGGGGACGGAGAAGGCUAUGUUGGCCGGGCGACGGUUGUCCCGGUUUAAGCGUGUAGGCUGGUUUUCCAGGCAAAUCCGGAAAACCAAGGCUGAGGCGUGAUGACGAGGCACUACGGUGCUGAAGCGACAAAUGCCCUGCUUCCAGGAAAAGCCUCUAAGCAUCAGGUAACAUCAAAUCGUACCCCAAACCGACACAGGUGGUCAGGUAGAGAAUACCAAGGCGCUUGAGAGAACUCGGGUGAAGGAACUAGGCAAAAUGGUGCCGUAACUUCGGGAGAAGGCACGCUGAUAUGUAGGUGAAGCGACUUGCUCGUGGAGCUGAAAUCAGUCGAAGAUACCAGCUGGCUGCAACUGUUUAUUAAAAACACAGCACUGUGCAAACACGAAAGUGGACGUAUACGGUGUGACGCCUGCCCGGUGCCGGAAGGUUAAUUGAUGGGGUUAGCGGCAACGCGAAGCUCUUGAUCGAAGCCCCGGUAAACGGCGGCCGUAACUAUAACGGUCCUAAGGUAGCGAAAUUCCUUGUCGGGUAAGUUCCGACCUGCACGAAUGGCGUAAUGAUGGCCAGGCUGUCUCCACCCGAGACUCAGUGAAAUUGAACUCGCUGUGAAGAUGCAGUGUACCCGCGGCAAGACGGAAAGACCCCGUGAACCUUUACUAUAGCUUGACACUGAACAUUGAGCCUUGAUGUGUAGGAUAGGUGGGAGGCUUUGAAGUGUGGACGCCAGUCUGCAUGGAGCCGACCUUGAAAUACCACCCUUUAAUGUUUGAUGUUCUAACGUUGGCCCGUAAUCCGGGUUGCGGACAGUGUCUGGUGGGUAGUUUGACUGGGGCGGUCUCCUCCUAAAGAGUAACGGAGGAGCACGAAGGUUGGCUAAUCCUGGUCGGACAUCAGGAGGUUAGUGCAAUGGCAUAAGCCAGCUUGACUGCGAGCGUGACGGCGCGAGCAGGUGCGAAAGCAGGUCAUAGUGAUCCGGUGGUUCUGAAUGGAAGGGCCAUCGCUCAACGGAUAAAAGGUACUCCGGGGAUAACAGGCUGA